rnacentral:rRNA from 1 species
UACAGAGGUCUCAACCGUUGUUCGGAUUCAUUGGGCGUAAAGGGUGCGUAGGCGGCGGGGUAAGUCAGGUGUGAAAUCUCGGGGCUCAACCCCGAAACUGCACUUGAUACUGCCUCGCUUGAGUACUGGAGAGGAGACUGGAAUUUACGGUGUAGCAGUGAAAUGCGUAGAUAUCGUAAGGAAGACCAGUGGCGAAGGCGAGUCUCUGGACAGUUACUGACGCUGAUGCACGAAGGCCAGGGGAGCAAACGGG